ACGCUCGACACCUACGGGAGGCCGCAGUGGGGAAUAUUGCACAAUGGGGGAAACCCUGAUGCAGCGACGCCGCGUGAAGGAAGAAGUAUCUCGGUAUGUAAACUUCUAUCAGCAGGGAAGAAAGUGACGGUACCUGACUAAGAAGCCCCGGCUAACUACGUGCCAGCAGCCGCGGUAAUCUGAGCGGGCUGGCAAGGC
rnacentral:rRNA from 1 species